rnacentral:rRNA from 1 species
UACGGGGGGGCAAGCGUUGUUCGGAUUUAUUGGGCGUAAAGAGCGUGUAGGCGGCCAGAUAGGUCAGCUGUGAAAACUCGAGGCUCAACCUCGAGACGUCGGUUGAAACCAUCUGGCUAGAGUCCGGAAGAGGAGAGUGGAAUUCCCGGUGUAGCGGUGAAAUGCGCAGAUAUCGGGAAGAACACCCGUGGCGAAGGCGGCUCUCUGGGACGGUACUGACGCUGAGACGCGAAAGCGUGGGGAGCGAACAGG